rnacentral:rRNA from 1 species
ACUAUACCGUGAAACUGCGAAUGGCUCAUUAAAUCAGUUAUCGUUUAUUUGAUAGUACCUUGCUACUUGGAUACCUGUGGUAAUUCUAGAGCUAAUACAUGCUAAAAACCUCGACUUCGGAAGGGGUGUAUUUAUUAGAUAAAAAACCAAUGCCCUUCGGGGCUCCUGGGUGAUUCAUAAUAACUUAACGAAUCGCAUGGCCUUGCGCCGGCGAUGGUUCAUUCAAAUUUCUGCCCUAUCAACUUUCGAUGGUAGGGUUUUUGCCUACCAUGGUUUCAACGGGUAACGGAUUAUAAGGGUNAGAUUCCGGAGAGGGAGCCUGAGAAACGGCUACCACAUCCAAGGAAGGCAGCAGGCGCGCAAAUUACUCAAUCCCGACACGGGGAAGUAGCGACAAGAAAUACUGAUGCAGAGCUCUUUUGGGUUUUGCAAUUGGAAUGAGUACAAUUUAAACCCCUUAACGAGGAACAAUUGGAGGGCAAGUCUGGUGCCAGCAGCCGCGGUAAUUCCAGCUCCAAUAGCGUAUAUUAAAGUUGUUGCAGUUAAAAAGCUCGUAGUUGAAACUUGGGCCUGGCUGGCCGGUCCGCCUCACCGCGUGCACUGGUCCGGCCGGGCCUUUCUUUCUGGGGAGCCGCAUGCCCUUCGUUGGGUGUGCCGGGGAACCAGGACUUUUACUUUGAAAAAAUUAGAGUGUUCAAANCAGGCCUAUGCUCGAAUACAUUAGCAUGGAAUAAUAGAAUANGACGUGUGGUUCUAUUUUGUUGGUUUCCUAAGACCGNCGUAAUGAUUAAUAUGGAUNNUCGGGGGCAUCAGUAUUCAAUUGUCAGANGUGAAAUNCUUGGAUUUAUUGAAGACUAACUACUGCNAAAGCAUUUGCCAAGGAUGUUUUCNUUAAUCANUGAA